rnacentral:rRNA from 1 species
AACGAACGCUGGCGGCAUGCCUAACACAUGCAAGUCGAACGAGACCUUCGGGUCUAGUGGCGCACGGGUGCGUAACGCGUGGGAACCUGCCCUUAGGUUCGAAAUAACUCCCCGAAAGGGGUGCUAAUACCGGAUAAUGUCUUCGGACCAAAGAUUUAUCGCCUUUGGAUGGGCCCGCGUUGGAUUAGCUAGUUGGUAGGGUAAAAGCCUACCAAGGCGACGAUCCAUAGCUGGUCUGAGAGGAUGAUCAGCCACACUGGGACUGAGACACGGCCCAGACUCCUACGGGAGGCGGCAGUGGGGAAUAUUGGACAAUGGGCGAAAGCCUGAUCCAGCAAUGCCGCGUGAGUGAUGAAGGCCUUAGGGUUGUAAAGCUCUUUUACCCGGGAUGAUAAUGACAGUACCGGGAGAAUAAGCUCCGGCUAACUCCGUG